CAUUCUGGUUAAAAGUUUCAAUAGAAUAUUCACAAAAUAAUAUAAAAUAACCAUUGAUACUUAAAUGCUGAUUUUCUUUCAGUACUUCGGCUAAUGGGAAUUGUCUCUUUAAUGCAUGUUCUAUUGCGUUAAUUGGGAAUGAGAGUUUGUCUGGCAAGUUGCUCACUUGAGAUGCCUCACCAGUGUUGAACUGUUUGAGAAUGCCAAAUACUAUGCUAUAACCAUCCCCUCAUUGAGUCCCAGCAUAAAAACGUAGCAUUCACUUCA